rnacentral:lncRNA from 1 species
GGAACUUUCAGCCCUCCCCACUGACCUCCGGGAAGGGGAAGCGGGGGCUGCAGAUUAAGCUCUAUCGAAACUCUUGAGCAACAAGAUUUGAUGAGCUUGGGGGUUGGUGAAUGCAUCCACGUGCUGGGGGGGCUGCACACCUCAGUUCCACCUCUGAAACUCCUGUGCUUGGGAUCCUUCCAGACCUUGCCCUAUGUACCCUUUCAUCUGGUUAUUCAUCCGUCCAAGACAUAUAAAUCUACAUGCCUUCUGUAUCCUUUUUGCACGUUGAUCUUGCCCCAUCCUAUGACUCAAAACGAC